AUUGAACGCUGGCGGCAGGCCUAACACAUGCAAGUCGAACGGCAGCACAGAAGAGCUUGCUCUUUGGGUGGCGAGUGGCGGACGGGUGAGUAAUGUCUGGGAAACUGCCCGAUGGAGGGGGAUAACUACUGGAAACGGUAGCUAAUACCGCAUAACGUCGCGAGACCAAAGUGGGGGACCUUCGGGCCUCACACCAUCGGAUGUGCCCAGAUGGGAUUAGCUAGCAGGUGGGGUAAUGGCUCACCUAGGCGACGAUCCCUAGCUGGUUUGAGAGGAUGACCGGCCACGAUGGAACUGAGACAAGGUCCAGGCUACUACGGGAGGCAGCAGUGGGGAAUAUUGCACAAUGGGCGCAAGCCUGAUGCAGCCAUGCCGCGUGGAUGAAGAAGGCCUUCGGGUUGUAAAGUACUUUCAGCGGGGAGGAAGGCGGUGAGGUUAAUAACCUUGCCGAUUGACGUUACCCGCAGAAGAAGCACCGGCUAACUCCGUGCCAGCCGCCGCGGUAA
rnacentral:rRNA from 1 species